UACGAAGGGGGCUAGCGUUGUUCGGAAUCACUGGGCGUAAAGCGCACGUAGGCGGAUUGCUAAGUCAGGGGUGAAAUCCUGGAGCUCAACUCCAGAACUGCCUUUGAUACUGAAAAUCUUGAGUCCGGGAGAGGUGAGUGGAACUGCGAGUGUAGAGGUGAAAUUCGUAGAUAUUCGCAAGAACACCAGUGGCGAAGGCGGCUCACUGGCCCGGUACUGACGCUGAGGUGCGAAAGCGUGGGGAGCAAACGGG
rnacentral:rRNA from 1 species